CCUUAAGAUAAGUAACGAGUGUUUUGAAGACAAAUAUUUCCUAUAAUCAUGGUAGUAUCAUUGACUUUUAACCUAAUUUCUCCCCUAUUUUAUCUACACUCGUCUCUCUGUAACACCGCCUUCCAUUCCUCUGUAAUAUCACCGCCCAUUCCUCCUCUUUCUCUAAAAAUUCACCGACCACCACACUUCUGCAAUCUCCAUCUUUAACGCAUUCUUCCUGACUGUCCGACCACCAUUGCCACCUAAACCACUACUUUCAUCCACGAUAAUCAUGUUCUGUUUUCAAAUUCGUCUUCAAGCUAUCAAAGUCUUUGGAGGUUAACGUAAAUCUAGAACAACCAGACUUCGGUACCCCAAUUUCAGAAUGUAAUACAAAACCAAAAUUAUUGCAAAAUCUAAAUCUCCUCUCAAUUUUCAUCAACUUUUUGCUCUUUUUCGGGUAUAAAAAAGGUAAGCCUUUUUUUAUCAAUUUCUUGAGAAUCGUUUGCAAGGAACUCGACCUAGGGCUGAUUGAGAUUGGAUCAUUCUCCUUUAAGCAUCCCUAUCCUUCUCCGUUACGAUAACUUGUUAUCUCUGGGUUAUUCGCGUCCAAUGUUAGGGUUACUCCACCCGACCGACUUCUAUAGUCUAUGGUUUUCUGUGAAUCUUGUAUUGAAAUUAGACUACGUUGCCAAGAUUUAGGUUUUCGUUGACUUUUGGUCUGGAUCGUGGUAGUGUUCUGGAAUUCAAAUUGAUUUGGGUUCUUUUUGGCAAAUUUACACCGAUUUUUCAAGCUUUUCCUAGGGAUUUUCCAUACUUGAGUUCAGCUCCUCCUGCAACACCAAGCAUAAGGCUGUUUUUUAUAAAAUGUAAUUCGUUUAGAAUGGAUUAACAAUGUAUUUUGUUAGAAUAUGUAUAGUUGUAUUAAAAUGUAUAACCAUAUUAUUUUAUAAGAAUAUGUAUGAAUAUAUAUUCAGGUGGCCACGAGUAAACAAUGAUCUUGUUAUUUUUCAA